rnacentral:rRNA from 1 species
UAGGGAAUCUUCCACAAUGGACGCAAGUCUGAUGGAGCAACGCCGCGUGAGUGAAGACGGUCUUCGGAUCGUAAAACUCUGUUGUUAGAGAAGAACACGAGUGAGAGUAACUGUUCAUUCGAUGACGGUAUCUAACCAGCAAGUCACGGCUAACUACGUGCCAG